GUUGGCUGUGGAGAAAAAAUUGGGGAAGGCUUGAGGAAGAGCUGCCUUUGUUUCCAAAGGAACCACAGGAGGAACGCUGGGCAGCCCCGCAGGCAGAGAGUCACAGGGCUGAAGGGAGAUGAACGAAACAGGGAACCAGGAUCGCCUAACCCUGACUGAGGGAAGACUAAAUGAAAGAAGCAGAGGAACAGAAUUUUUAAAAAAAAUAGCAUCAUGUGUCAGUUCUGGAGGCUGUUAUCUUUUGCAAAGAUGCCUUGUCAGAAGGAUGAUAACCUGCAUGCAUUCCUGCAUAAGUAAACUGAUAAGAAAAUCCACAAGUGAAUAAAGCAGAAGACCUGCACAAUGCUUUUUAAUUAUACGAGCCUUCUCUGAUCCUGAUAGUAUACUUCCCCUCUCCUCUGUCUCUCUGUGUCUUUUUGUUGACACUCUUCACUGCCCAUCAAACCGUGGGCAGGAUAUCGUGGCUGUAGAAGUCUGAAUUGAUCACACGCAGAGCAAAGCUUGA